rnacentral:ncRNA from 1 species
ACCGCACGGGGAGCUGAUGUUAUCGGCUGAGAUUCGCGCUAACGAGUGCGUGACCCAUGAACCUGAUCCGGAUAAUGCCGGCGUAGGAAUCGCGAAAA